rnacentral:tRNA from 1 species
GCUCAGUUGGUUGAGUGUCUAACUCAUGAUUUCAGCUCAGGUCAUGGUCUCAGUUUGUGGGAUCAAGUCCCUCAUUGGGCU